UCUAUGGGCCUAGUUGGUAAAGGCAGCACUUAUAGUAUAAUGUCUUAGAUUCUAGCUCAGGUUGCAGGUUCAAAUCCUGCCCAUGGUG